rnacentral:rRNA from 1 species
CCCUUAGAUGUUCUGGGCUGCACGCGCGCUACACUGAUGCGCUCAACGAGUUUUAACCUUGCCUGGAAAGGUUGGGUAAUCUUUUUAAAACGCAUCGUGAUGGGGAUAGAUUAUUGCAAUUAUUAAUCUUCAACGAGGAAUUCCUAGUAGGCGCGAGUCAUCAGCUCGUGCUGAUUACGUCCCUGCCCUUUGUACACACCGCCCGUCGCUCCUACCGAUUGAAUGGUCCGGUGAAGCCUCGGGAUUGUGGCCAGUUCACUUUAUUGGGAGUUGGCUGCGAGAACUUGUCUAAACCUUAUCAUUUAGAGGAAGGUGAAGUCGUAACA